UGUACAUAUACUGGACAAACGGAUUCCAUUGGCUUCAAUAACACGUUUGUUGUCUAUAAUGGGAGGUGGCCACCACCGCCAUUUUGACCGUGUCACAGGUUCCGUCCAGCCCAGACAAUUCCAUAAAAGGGAAGAGAGGAGGCGCUGAGGGUGUGGCUGUAAGGCUGGGCUCGAGUGACGACACCCAGGCGAACUAGCUACGAGCUAACCUGAAGCUAACCCUGGCUAACCCAAAGCUAAAGCGGAGGUGGGAGCCGAGCUAACGGAUGUAGCCACCUAGCUUCAACCCAACCGGAGCUAACUGGAACACCCAUCGACCUGAACCUUACACGGAGUUUAGGUGGAGGUUUUCUGCGCCUGUUCGUGAGAAGUACCUGUAUUAAAAAAGUUUUCAAUCGAUCUGUUUAAAUGUCACCAUGGCAGCCUGUGUGUCUCCAACAUCAGCAAGUGUAAGUUUCACAUACCUGUCUCACCACUUCAUGUAUGGUUUUGUACUUUAAACAAUUAUGACAAACCUGUUAUUUUUUCUCCAUAGCCAUUUGGAUCAUUGGAGACAGCUGAGUGAGGCGUGGUGCCCAGAGAGCUGCAGAGACAACCUUGGCCUCCCUGACGUCUGUGUCUCCUGGUUCGGUUGGGGUGGACCAUCGACAUACAUACAUGUGCCGACACUUUGCGCCCUGUUUUAUAAAAUGUAGUGUUAAAAAUAAAUGUUUUUGCUCAA